rnacentral:rRNA from 1 species
AUUGAACGCUGGCGGCAUGCUUUACACAUGCAAGUCGAACGGUAACAGGUUAAGCUGACGAGUGGCGAACGGGUGAGUAAUGCAUCGGAACGUGCCCGAUCGUGGGGGAUAACGCAGCGAAAGCUGCGCUAAUACCGCAUACGAUCUGAGGAUGAAAGCGGGGGACCGUAAGGCCUCGCGCGAUCGGAGCGGCCGAUGGCAGAUUAGGUAGUUGGUGGGGUAAAGGCUCACCAAGCCAACGAUCUGUAGCUGGUCUGAGAGGACGACCAGCCACACUUGGCCUGAGACACGGCCCAGACUGCUACGGGAGGCAGCAGUGGGGAAUUUUGGACCAUGGGCGAAAGCCUGAUCCAGCCAUGCCGCGUGCAGGAUGAAGGCCUUCGGGUUGUAAACUGCUUUUGUACGGAACGAAAAGGUUUGGGCUAAUAAGCUGAGCUCAUGACGGUACCGUAAGAAUAAGCACCGGCUAACUACGUGCCAGCAGCCGCCGCAG